GACGAACGCUGGCGGCGUGCCUAAUACAUGCAAGUUGAGCGCUGAAGGUUGGUACUUGUACCGACUGGAUGAGCAGCGAACGGGUGAGUAACGCGUGGGGAAUCUGCCUUUGAGCGGGGGACAACAUUUGGAAACGAAUGCUAAUACCGCAUAAAAACUUUAAACACAAGUUUUAAGUUUGAAAGAUGCAAUUGCAUCACUCAAAGAUGAUCCCGCGUUGUAUUAGCUAGUUGGUGAGGUAAAGGCUCACCAAGGCGAUGAUACAUAGCCGACCUGAGAGGGUGGUCGGCCGCCCUGGGACGGGGACACGGCCCAAACGCCCACGGGAGGCAGCCGGAGGGAAUCGUCGGGCAUGGACGAAAGGCUGACCGAGCAACGCCGCGGGAGGGAAGAAGGGUUUCGGGUCGUAAAACUCUGUUUGUAGAGAAGAAAGUUGGUGAGGGUGGAAAGCUCAUAAAGUGACGGUAACUACACAGAAAGGGACGGCUAACUACGUG
rnacentral:rRNA from 1 species